GGACAAGGGGAAUCCGACUGCUUACUUAAAACAAAGCAUUGCGAUGCCCUCAGAAGGUGUUGGCAAUGUGAUUUUCGCACAGUGCUCUGAAUGUCAAAGUAAACAAGCGUGGGUAAACGGCGGGAGUAAGUAUGACUCUCUUAAGGCAGCCGAAUGCCUCGUCAUCUAAUUAGUGACGUGCAUGAAUGGAUGUCAGAGUUCU
rnacentral:ncRNA from 1 species